CCUACGGGGGGCUGCAAUGGGGAAUAUUGGACAAUGGGGGGAACCCUGAUCCAGCCAUGCCGCGUGUGUGAAGAAGGCCCUCGGGUUGUAAAGCACUUUCAGUGAGGAAGAACGCCUGGUGGUUAAUACCCAUCAGGAAAGACAUCACUCACAGAAGAAGCACCGGCUAACUCCGUGCCAGCAGCCGCGGUAAUACGGAGGGUGCGAGCGUUAAUCGGAAUUACUGGGCGUAAAGCGCGCGUAGGUGGCUUGAUAAGCCGGUUGUGAAAGCCCCGGGCUCAACCUGGGAACGGCAUCCGGAACUGUCAAGCUAGAGUGCAGGAGAGGAAGGUAGAAUUCCCGGUGUAGCGGUGAAAUGCGUAGAGAUCGGGAGGAAUACCAGUGGCGAAGGCGGCCUUCUGGACUGACACUGACACUGAGGUGCGAAAGCGUGGGUAGCAAACAGGAUUAGAUACCCGUGUAGUC
rnacentral:rRNA from 1 species